CCAGAUGGCUGGGCGAUCGCGGUCCUUUCACGAGGGUCGAGGAAAGUCCGGGCUCCACUUCGACAUGGCGGUGGGUAACGCCCACCGGGGGUGACCCUAGGGAUAGCGCCACAGAGAGCAGACCGCCUGAACUUCGGUGCAGGUAAGGGUGAAAGGGUGCGGUAAGAGCACACCGCGGACCCGGCGACGGGGACGGCACGGCAAGCCCCGCCAGGAGCAAGACCGAAUAGGGAUGUCGCGCCCUCGCAAGGGGGUAGGACCGUCGAAGGUCCGAGAUGUCCGGGUAGGUCGCGAGAACCGUCCAGCAAUGGCCGGUCCAGAGGAAUGAUCGUCGCGUCGAUUGCGGUCGGCGUCACAGAACCCGGCUUACAGGCCGUCUGGUUUC
rfam:Phenylobacterium zucineum isolate lbmp16 W1S__single__contig_6714, whole genome shotgun sequence.